GCUGUGAGUUGCAUCUGCCUGUAUUUAGGCCACUUUGGCUGUACUGCUGAAGGUAAUACAUUCUCUUUUGCAGUGGCCCUUUAUCUGUCCUUGCUGAACGUGCUCAUGCAUGUGGUGCCCUUUGAGGAGAAAAUCCCAUCUCGAGCUCUGUGCUCCUGCCACUCAUAUCAGUGCUGAAGUCUUUUUGUUUAGGUGACCGAUAGGAGAUCAUGAAGCCAUGGCUCACACGUGUAUUUUGUAGCAGUGUGCAGCUAACCAUGCUUCCCCCAGGCACUUAAGAUGAAGAGCUGCUCUUUUCUUUGGCUAUUUUGCACAUUCUCUUUGUCUCACAAGUAAGAGAAAAUUUUCUUUUAAAUCUUCAUUUUUAUUAAUAAGGCUUUUUCUUUACCAAUGACACUGAGGGAAACUAUUCUGAGUGGUUUUAAAUUAUAGGAAAUUAACAUUCAUCUGAAACCCUUGAAGUUCUUCAAACGGUUUCAUUUGGAGGUUGUCUGAACAGAUGCACUCCUGGGAUGCUCAUGUACUAAAGUUUGUGGAUGCAUCUCAGCUGAUCAAUUUACAUAAUGAUGUUGGUGGAAUAUCACUGUGUGUGGGAACUGCUGAGUCCCGGCCUGCACCACUGAUGGAGCACCUGGGAAAGGACCCGGUCAGCCCUGGGAGCACAGCUGGAGGCAAUUCAGCUGUGGGACUGGAAGGGGUGCAGCCUGGGUGCACCUCUCAUAGAGCUCAUUUAAGGGCUGACUGCCCCUCGGGAAGGGUUUCUUCCUGGAGGUCCCUCCUUGGUGAGGCUUUCCCUGCAAACCUGCAAUCUUCUGACACGUAAGCCUUGGAAUGCUGCCUGUGCAGGGGAAGCACCUCGAUGAAUUGCCUGGGUGGUUUGAUGUGCUGCUCCCUAAUAGCACCAGUAAAAGGGGAAAGGUUUCAUGUGAUCCAGUUCUGUAGGACCCCAGUAGCACCAGGAGAGUGGGACGUGUGUCAUCCCUGCUGCAAUAAAAGAGCCAUUUGCUGAUGAG
rnacentral:lncRNA from 1 species